AUUGAACGCUGGCGGCAGGCCUAACACAUGCAAGUCGAGCGGAUGAAGGGAGCUUGCUCCUGGAUUCAGCGGCGGACGGGUGAGUAAUGCCUAGGAAUCUGCCUGGUAGUGGGGGAUAACGCCCGGAAACGGGCGCUAAUACCGCAUACGUCCUGAGGGAGAAAGUGGGGGAUCUUCGGACCUCACGCUAUCAGAUGAGCCUAGGUCGGAUUAGCUAGUUGGUGGGGUAAAGGCCUACCAAGGCGACGAUCCGUAACUGGUCUGAGAGGAUGAUCAGUCACACUGGAACUGAGACACGGUCCAGACUCCUACGGGAGGCAGCAGUGGGGAAUAUUGGACAAUGCGCGAAAGCCUGAUCCAGCCAUGCCGCGUGUGUGAAGAAGGUCUUCGGAUUGUAAAGCACUUUAAGUUGGGAGGAAGGGCAGUAAGUUAAUACCUUGCUGUUUUGACGUUACCAACAGAAUAAGCACCGGCUAACUUCGUG
rnacentral:rRNA from 1 species